rnacentral:rRNA from 1 species
UAGGGAAUCUUCGGCAAUGGGGGGAACCCUGACCGAGCAACGCCGCGUGAGUGAAGAAGGUUUUCGGAUCGUAAAGCUCUGUUGUUAAGGAAGAACGAGUGUGAGAAUGGAAAGUUCAUGCUGUGACGGUACUUAACCAGAAAGGGACGGCUAACUACGUGCCAGCAGCCGCGGUAAUACGUAGGUCCCGAGCGUUGUCCGGAUUUAUUGGGCGUAAAGCGAGCGCAGGCGGUUAGAAAAGUCUGAAGUGAAAGGCAGUGGCUCAACCAUUGUAGGCUUUGGAAACUGUUUAACUUGAGUGCAGAAGGGGGGAGUGGAAUUCCAUGUGUAGCGGUGAAAUGCGUAGAUAUAUGGGGGAACACCGGUGGCGAAAGCGGCUCUCUGGUCUGUAACUGACGCUGAGGCUCGAAAGCGUGGGGAGCGAACAGG